rnacentral:rRNA from 2 species
AAACCAACAGGGAUUGCCCUAGUAACGGCGAGUGAAGCGGCAACAGCUCAAAUUUGAAAUCUGGCUCUCUUUGGGGGUCCGAGUUGUAAUUUGCAGAGGAUGCUUUGGCAUUGGCGGCGGUCUAAGUUCCUUGGAACAGGACAUCACAGAGGGUGAGAAUCCCGUACGUGGUCGCCUGCCCUUGCCGUGUAAAGCUCCUUCGACGAGUCGAGUUGUUUGGGAAUGCAGCUCUAAAUGGGAGGUAAAUUUCUUCUAAAGCUAAAUACUGGCCAGAGACCGAUAGCGCACAAGUAGAGUGAUCGAAAGAUGAAAAGUACUUUGGAAAGAGAGUCAAAAAGCACGUGAAAUUGUUGAAAGGGAAGCGCUUGCAGCCAGACUUGCCCGCAGUUGCUCACCUAGGCUUUCGCCUGGGGCACUCUUCUGCGGGCAGGCCAGCAUCAGUUUGGGCGGUUGGAUAAAGGCCUCUGUCACGUAUCUCCCUUCGGGGUGACCUUAUAGGGGAGGCGCAAUGCAACCAGCCCGGACUGAGGUCCGCGCAUCUGCUAGGAUGCUGGCGUAAUGGCUGUAAGCGGC